rnacentral:antisense_RNA from 1 species
CUUGAGGGACCCCAGCCACAGCGGGUGCCCCUCCUCACGGCCCUGGCCGUAGGUGGCCAGCAGCGCCUGCGCCUC